UGCGUUGAAAGCUGCGAUCGAGCAGCCAUUUGCCAGCGACGGCACAUUCUUCUACCGUGGUUGAUAUUUCUCACUGCUUUGAACCCCCAAGACUCCACGGAUGCCUUCCUACCGGCAUUGCAUCCUGUGGCUGACCACACCAACGAUUUUCGCAGAAUCGUUACACAGCAUGGCUCAUACUCAGUGAUGCAGUGCUGGACGUAUUCGACCAAGCCUAGUGCGAGUUCUCGUGAUGCCUCACAUUGUUUCUUCCUUGGACCAAAGGGACGGCAAGGUCUUUCCGCCUGCAAAUGUUUGCAUAGUUUUCAAAGAUAAUUCCCUCCCUGCUUUGUGUGCUUGAUUUGAAUGUAAGUUACAUUACACAGAAUGUAUACCCCCCUGCAAUGCCAGUACAGGCGAAGCAGGUACUAAAUAGAUAACCACAAAAGGAUUUUGGAGCGAGAAAAAAUGGCAUGUGCAAUAAAGAUAAACGCAGAUGUCCCGUCGGUGUCGCUGUCAAACAAGAAAUUGUGAUAUCAAGGGACUGAGCAAAAUAACUAAACGUGUGCUUGCCAAACUAUAGCUGUCAUUUGCACCUUGAUUGUGACUUAGCUACCAGAAGAAGUUUUCUUUGUGUUUGUCUUGUUCUUUUUCUGUGAAAAUGUACUUUUUUCUUUGUUUACUUUCGUUUGGGUUUUUUUAGCUAUAUCAUGUGCGCAGGUGACCAAUAAUGCCGUGUGGAAAUUAGUGGUUGUUGGUAUUUCUCACUGCCUGCCUGUUCAAUGUGUGUACUAAAGUCAAUAGAGCACCAACCAGUAUAAACCAGUGUGUUGAAUUUGUUAUCGUGUUUUAGUACGAAUGAUCUGACUGAUUAUGCGCCCAGAUAAACAAUUAGAUUAUGAAAACAAAGUUCAUCAGAACGUGUCAUUCGUUUUACUUAUAAUAACCCUAUUUCAACUGCAGGACCCACAUGUUCAGGCAUGUAGAGUUAAGUAGAACAAGUCUUUUUGCGAUUGUUAGUUCUGAAAAAGUGAGAGCAGUGCUAAGGACACAAAGUGAGUCCACAUAGAUAAAUGGCAUGGUGCACUGUGCACGGACUGAUAAUUGAUGUGUUUUUGCAACAGACAAGCAAAUAAAUAUCCAGUAACACUUUGUCAAAGGCACGAAAGCAAAUAAAGAGGCAGGUUGUGGUCACAUACAAAUGUGCCGUGGUUGUAGGUUUGUUAACAAGCAUGCCACUUUCCUGUAACUUCAGAAUACAGGUGCUGCGCUGACAUAUUCAUCUUUUUUGCUGUUAUUUUGGGGGAUUUGAUUAGUUUCUGGGUUAAUGGUUGCUGCUUUCGCUAACAUGUUCACUUGUGAAAUUCGGGGCAUAAUCUGCACUGUUUACAGUGUAUGUACCCUAAUGGUCACAUUAUAGUGGCGCUUAAUCGUGAAGGCUCUCAUUCAAACAUGGACUUGUCUGGUCUACAUAUGCUUUUCUUCAUGCCAAAAAAUAAGAUAUACUACGUUUCAGUCAAAAGAAAAGAAACUGAGACUGGUGUCUAUUAUUGCACAUAAAUCUAUGCUUAGUUGCGUUAAUAUUUUUGCAUAAUUUCAACAACUUAUUUGGUGCUUUUCUGUGACAUUCACACUCUGGCUUAUCAACGUAGGUGUAAUAAAGGCAAAAAAGUAAAGCAUUGCAGUGGAUUUAACUUAAUGCUCUUGAUUCUGUUACCUUUUGGCAGCUUUUUUUUUGGAAAAGCAUAUGUACAAAAGCACGUUUUAACCAAAUAUGCUGCUGUUUGCGAGGCUUUGCAAGCACCACUAUAACGUGACAAAAGCAGUGUGUGGCCAUUUGGUUAUACAAUUUCUGGUAUAUUGACACCACAAAAAGUAAACGAAGAAAGAUAUGUACGCAUGACACAAGCACCGGA